AUAGGCACAACUUUUUGAAGGGGUCUGUUUAUUCUAAAUGCAGAAAUUCAAUCUUAGCGUUGAACAAAUAAAGGAUAUAUUUUAUCGCUCUCAAGAAUUGUUGAUAAGCUUUUUGAAGAAUAAAAAAAGCAUGAAGACUUUGCAUCAGAGGCUGAGCAAACACAACUGAAUUGUAUUGCUGACUUUAAGAAGUCUUUCGAGGAGCAAUCAAGAUCAAAUUCAGAGAUGCUUAUUGCGGAUAUGACCAGCUUAGUUUCUGAUCACAUUCGUCGUCAAAUGGAUCUGGUGGAUGAAAAGCUUGUUGAUCUUAGACAGAGCAGCAUUAAGAAUAAGACUUUCUUGGAUGAACAUGUGUCAUCAGUAGGAGAAAUUAUGUCCCAUGCAAAAAGGAAAUGGCAAUCUUUUUGUGUGCAAGCAGAGAAAGAGACCAAGGAUACUGCUGAUUAUUCUGCAGCAAAG